UGUCCUUCUCACCUAAUAUCCCAUGCUGUUCAGAUAUUCUAAAUAAGGUAAUAUCGUGAGAGUCAAAUUCGAGCCUUGUGAGAGGGUUACACUAAUAAUUGGUUUUAUUUUAUGUGUUUCCACAGUCAUUCUUUUGCUAUUUCUCUAAAUGUUUUUAUCUCAACUGUGGGGUCAACAGUUGAUCACUUGAACCCUUUAUUAAUACUUUGUUAAAUACAAAGAACAACAACAGAAAUAGCAGAUCUAUAAGCACACAACUUUGAUGCUUUGCUUGUUAAUAACUAACUUGCUUAUCUUUUAACAUUUUAAUUUUUACUAUAAUUAGUGUACAAUGAAUGUUUUUGAUAUUUGUGUAAUUAUUAUUGUAAUGGAUAUUUUUUGUCCAUGUAGGAGACAUCACUCGUCCUUCGUGCACUUCCUGUGUACCUGCGUGAAGAUGCCUCCAAGUUUUUCAGGACCUGUAAUUCAGCAGAUGGUCCAGACCUCACUGACACUCCGGUGGCUCUCCUGACAGUUGUCACUGAUGAUACUACUGAUGCGGCCCUCUUCAGCCCUGAGAGCAUCUGUAUUGUCGUGGAAGAUGAAAUACUUGUGAGUGGUCCCACAAACCUGGCUGACUCAUUUCUCCUGCUCUUUGGGUAUGUCUAUGCACUAGACCUACAGUACCCAAAGAAUCUCGAGCUUACAUUCACAUUUAUCCAAAAAGUAGUGAUGUGUCUUGAGGACAACAAACCACUGAAAGGGGGUCUACUGACACUGAAGAAUGAUUUGUUCAAUGAGUGAAUCACUCAGAAUGGACUAUUUGUUGAGCUGAGUAUUGAGGAUGUUUUUUUGUUUUUUUCCCCUCUUUACAAAUGUAAUAAUUUGCCUCUUCUACCUCAUGUUUAAUAUGUUACACUGUUUGCCUCUUCUACCUCAGAUUUAAUACAUUGAUUGUUAAUAGAUAAAUAUCACAACAUUGACGUAUUGCCAAGCCCAAGUUUUUGUACUGUACUUGUGGGAAACGACUGUUGAAUUCAUGCACUAUACAUGUUUAAUGUUGUGUGACCUAAUGCUUACCUUGAUGUUGCCAGUUGAAGUACGGCACAGUAGAAACCAGUACUUUUAUUUGAAUGUUUUAUUUUAAAAAAGUGAGUUGCAGCCUUCAAGGUACAGUAAGUGCCAAAACGUUUUAAAUGGCUCCACAUUCUAAUAGUUGUCAUUGCUGUUGAGGAUGGAUUAUAAUUAGAAUCUUAUUGAAUUUUAUCAUGAAGCCUUUGUGAGUUUUUAUCAUAAUGUUUACUGAAUAAUGUGAUAUGGAGACCCAAAAUACUGAAUCUACCCUCUGUAGCAAUGACCACUAUCAGAAUAUGGAACUAUUAACACUUAAUGUACUUUAAAACACAUUUUGUUUUUAUGGAGUCAUUUCCUUUUCCUUUUUUGUUUUAAUUUAUGACAAGCACUUUGUUUUGACUGAGCUCCUUUUGAUUCGUGCCUUUUUAAAAGCACAUUGUGUUGAAUAAAAAAAAAGUUAAAUUGUCA